rnacentral:rRNA from 1 species
UACAGAGGUCUCAAGCGUUGUUCGGAUUCAUUGGGCGUAAAGGGUGCGUAGGCGGCGCGGUAAGUCGGGUGUGAAAUCUCGGGGCUAACUCCGAAACUGCAUUCGAUACUGCCGUGCUUGAGGACUGGAGAGGAGACUGGAAUUUACGGUGUAGCGGUGAAAUGCGUAGAUAUCGAUAAGGAAGACCGUGGCGAAGGCGGGUGCGUGGCAGUUCUACGUGAGGCAGCGAAGGC